rnacentral:rRNA from 1 species
UACGAAGGGGGCUAGCGUUGUUCGGAAUUACUGGGCGUAAAGGGCGCGUAGGCGGCCCGCUAAGUCGAACGUGAAAUCCCCGAGCUCAACUCGGGAACUGCGUCCGAUACUGGUGGGCUUGAAUCCGGGAGAGGGAUGCGGAAUUCCAGGUGUAGCGGUGAAAUGCGUAGAUAUCUGGAGGAACACCGGUGGCGAAGGCGGCAUCCUGGACCGGCAUUGACGCUGAGGCGCGAAAGCUAGGGGAGCGAACAGG